GACGAACCACACAAACGUUAUUCGGAAUUACUGGGCUUAAAGGGUGCGUAGGCGGCGCAGAAAGUAGGGUGUGAAAUCCCUCGGCUCAACCGAGGAACUGCGCCCUAAACUACUGUGCUCGAGGGAGGUAGAGGUGAGCGGAACUUAGGGUGGAGCGGUGAAAUGCGUUGAUAUCCUAAGGAACACCGGUGGCGAAAGCGGCUCACUGGACCUCUUCUGACGCUGAGGAGCGAAAGCCAGGGGAGCAAACGGG
rnacentral:rRNA from 1 species